ensembl:lncRNA
UCGCCCCCGAGGCGGAUGCGCCGGCCGGACCAGCGGAUUCGCGGGUCGGGGUCACGCUGGUCACUCUGUCCCUGAUCUAACCCAGGGAUGCCUAGUGAUUCAACAGUGUACGUCCCAGAAGCGAAACUAACAAGAGCACGUAAGAGAAAACAGAGGAUCCCAAAAUGAAGACACUUGCUCAAGUUCACACAGCUGUUAAGUGGAUGACAAGGGGCCAGACUUCUAAGGUGCAGAUUGUCCCUGUAGAAUGGGAAGAAGACAUGAGUGGACAAAACGACUUAGGUAUUAUAGUCACAUUUCCUUCUAGGAGCUGGGCCUUCAUUUCCCAUCAGUGGUAUUUAUCAGCCUCGAGACAAAGCCCACUCUUCUCAUCUAGCGAGUUGCCUUCAUAUCUGUGAGAGAGGCCCACGUGAACUGAAUUUCAUGGAUUGCGGUGGGAAUUAAAGCUGAGUCCUGACUCUUAGUUCAUGAAAAAUUAUCUGUGCAUGGACUGGCUCUGUGGCUGGUACAAAAAGAAACUUUCAAAAGAGAACAAAGAAAGCGUCAAAAGAAUAAGUGUGUAACUUCCCAAGAGACCCUGACUUGUUUCCCUUUGUUUUUUUCUAUCACCACACUGGUUUCCCUAGAGGACAUUGACGUUGACAGAGAAAGACCAAAGGAAUCUUUGUGACUUCAUCCAAAUGUCACAGCAAGAGACCAUGGCUUUCAAAGAGGUUUAGCUGCAUCAGAUCACCUGGAGGACUCGUGACAGCACAGAUUGCCGGGCGUCACCAGAAUUUCUGAUUGCAAACUUCUGGUGGGAAGAGACAAUUUCUUAUACUACUAAUUUCCUGAAGAAAAAUGUCUCAAUGUCCUAAACACCUUGCAGUCUGUGGGACAGGCUGUUUAAAUAGCACGAGUGAAGUGGAGAUUUGGCAAUCGGUGAUUCACAUGUGGAGGAUGAAACAUGAAGAGGGUGAACAGAAAAUGUGGCGGAGAGGCUGAGUUUCUACCACUGUUACACAGGAAAAAAAGACAGGAAGUAAGCGAUCAGGAAAUGCAGUAACAAUAGCCUUUUCCUGGAAGAGUGGCUCUGAAGCGAUGACUAAAGGUCCAGACAUGCUGGGUUUAACUGGCAGAGCCCAAGACCAGGGGCCACCGUGGAGAGAGGGGCAGAGGUUUAUUUGUGGGUUGGACCCAGAAGCAAAGGAACUCAAUACUGAGAAAGGACCAGGAGAAAAAUGAAUUAAUGAAGUCUCUGCAAAGCUCUGAGUGAAGAAUGCUAUGGUGGCCAUCCAUGGUCUGCCCUGCCCAGUGCCCUUCAUCCACACACACAGUAAAUCUCUUGCUUUUGGAAACCACAUCUCUCUGAUACUGAUCUUAUGGUUUGGAUGGAGAUGGCACUACUCCCUGGCUCUACUGGGGACUCAACUCCAACCACUGAGAACACCACAUCUUUCUGGCCAUGGUAACUAAUUCUGGGGUGGGCCCUUGACUAAUGCCAGAUGAAACAGAGACAAGCCUGAACAUCUUGUUCAAAUUCUUGGGAGAGAGAUCAUUUCUUUCUGUUGGGAUUGCUAAGCUGGCAGAAUGUACACCUAGAGCUGCUGGAAACCAUCUUGCCACCACAGAAGGAGAACCUGCCGCAGAAGGAAGCCAACAUAAA